ensembl:lncRNA
UGCACAGUCGUAGGCUAGUUAGCUAGCUAGUUUGCUGAAUAAGCCAUUUUUUGGUUUUAGGGAAGAGCACAUUUUCUCAGUAGUAGCUUGGAAAACAGCGCAGACUAUUAGGAGGUAAUUGCAUAAUUUGACGGAUUCAUGAAUUGUACGUUAUUGUUAAUUAAGCUAGCUAUUGUGUUUGCAACCAAGUUACUUAACGUUAGCUUGCUACCGAUAGCUAUGCAAAGUAGUCCUUACUGAAAUAACUGUCUGGAGCCGUUGCUAGGACUCUGUUCUCUGCACAAACGGUGCUGCAGUUUGAUGUAACUGCCAUGUAGUAACCUCACCAAAAUUCCAUAAGCUGGGUGUUUGAAAAAAGGGUAAAUUAACACACACAGAUCCAGGCAAAGAUGGAAAUGUCAACACAGCAAUUGGUUUCUUACCUGUAUGAAAGGCUCCAUAUCAAGCUGUCUGAUGACAGCUUCCAAGACAUGUGGAACAUUGCUGGCUUCGUUGUCCUAUUCCUCUUCUGCUGCCUGAUCCUUACCUUGUUCAUGACUGCCUUAUUUAUCUCUUGCUUCGGACGGUGCUUUGAGAAACGACUAGACAAAAGGAACAAAGUGGCACCUUUAGAACCCACACCCUCAGCUCCAACAAUUGUGUACAUGGAUGGGCAAGAACCUGUGAAUAAGGCAGACGGUCAGAAAACAGAGGGGGCCCCUUCACGACCUGCAAAGAAUGCUGAGAAACACAAAAAAAAAAGGCAUAAAGACAAAAAGGCCACUAAAAAUGUUAAGUCUCAGACCCCAAGUAAGAAACGACAAAGUACAGCAAAAGUGGUUAAAAAGUAGGUUCAUUUUAGCUUUACACCUGCUAGUCCUGUCACCAUGUUUCCUAUUCAAAUAAAGCACAAUCAUAAUAUUAAAUCAUAUAUACUGUCUGACUGCAUGUUUUAUCCCAGGGAUUUCCGACUGCCCCAUCUUCAAUGGCCAUUUUGUCUUAAGCAACAC